GAUAAACGCUGGCGGCGUGCCUAAUGCAUGCAAGUCGCACGGGGUGGCCUUUCGGGGCCAUCGAGUGGCGAACGGGUGAGGAACGCGUGGACAACCUACCCCGGCGUGGGGGAUACCCGCCAGAAAUGGCGGCUAAUACCGCGUACGGUCGCCCGACGGAGGGUCGGGCGAAGAAAGCAGCGAUGCGCGCUGGGAGGGGUCUGCGGCCGAUUAGCUCGUUGGCGGGGUAGUGGCCCACCAAGGCGAUGAUCGGUAGCUGGUCUGAGAGGAUGAUCAGCCACACGGGGACUGAGACACGGCCCCGACUCCUACGGGAGGCAGCAGCAAGGAAUUUUCCGCAAUGGGGCAACCCUGACGGAGCAACGCCGCGUGACGGAUGACGCCUCUUGGGUGUAAACGUCUUUUGCCGGGGGAGAGAACGGACGGUACCCGGCGAAUCAGGACC
rnacentral:rRNA from 1 species